rnacentral:rRNA from 1 species
GACGAACGCUGGCGGCGUGCUUAACACAUGCAAGUCGAACGAAGAGCGAUGGAAGCUUGCUUCUAUCACUCUUAGUGGCGAACGGGUGAGUAACGCGUAAUCAACCUGCCCUUCAGAGGGGGACAACAGUUGGAAACGACUGCUAAUACCGCAUACGAUCUAACCUCGGCAUCGAGGAUAGAUGAAAGGUGGCCUCUACAUGUAAGCUAUCACUGAAGGAGGGGAUUGCGUCUGAUUAGCUAGUUGGAGGGGUAACGGCCCACCAAGGCGAUGAUCAGUAGCCGGUCUGAGAGGAUGAACGGCCACAUUGGGACUGAGACACGGCCCAGACUCCUACGGGAGGCAGCAGUGGGGAAUCUUCCGCAAUAGACGAAAGUCUGACGGAGCAACGCCGCGUGAGUGAUGACGGCCUUCGGGUUGUAAAGCCCUGUUAAUCGGGACGAAAGGCCUUCUUGCGAAUAGUUAGAAGGAUUGACGGUACCGGAAUAGAAAGCCACGGCUAACUACGUG